rnacentral:rRNA from 1 species
CGUGUAGGCGGACCAGCAAGUCAGGUGUGAAAUCCCUGGGCUCAACCUAGGAACUGCAUCUGAAACUGCCGGUCUUGAGUGUCGGAGAGGGAAGCGGAAUUCCGGGUGUAGAGGUGAAAUUCGUAGAUAUCCGGAGGAACACCGGUGGCGAAGGCGGCUUCCUGGACGAUUACUGACGCUGAGACGCGAAAGCGUGGGGAGCAAACA